rnacentral:misc_RNA from 1 species
GUCCACCAUUUUAAUAUUCACGAAGGUGAUCAAGAUCUAAAAGUUGGUUCAAUAAUUGGCUGGAAAUAUAAUCAUGAUGGAAAAGUUAAGGUUACUAAGCAAUUGAUUGAAGCCGUCGACGAUGAGAAGAAAUUAAUUACUUGGAAAGUGUUAGAGGGAGAUACGUUGGAAUUGUAUAAUUCCUUCGCUAUUACUGCCUCCUUUGAAGAGAAUUGGGCAACAUGGACACUAGUAUACGAGAAGAAAACUGAAGACACACCAGAACCUAUUACUCUCUUGAGUCUUAU